AUUGAACGCUGGCGGCAGGCCUAACACAUGCAAGUCGAGCGGAGUGGCGGACGGGUGAGUAAUGUAUAGGAAUCUGCCCGGUAGUGGGGGAUAACGUCCGGAAACGGGCGCUAAUAUCGCAUACUAUCAGAUGAGCCUAGGUCGGAUUAGCUAGUUGGUGGGGUAAAGGUCUACCAAGGCGACGAUCCGUAACUGGUGUGGGAGGACGAUCAGUCACACUGGAACUGAGACACGGUCCAGACGCCUACGGGAGGGAGCAGUGGGGAAUAUUGGACAAUGGGCGAAAGCCGGAUCCAGCCAUGCCGCGUGUGUGAAGAAGGUCUUCGGGUUGUAAAGCACUUUAAGUUGGGAGGCGUUACCAGCAGAAUAAGCACCGGCUAACUACGUGCCAGCAGCCGCGGUAAUAC
rnacentral:rRNA from 1 species